UCUUUUUGUAUUGAUAUAAAGUCGGGCCUGCCCACUGAAGUGUUAAAGGGCCGCGGUAUUUUGACCGUGCAAAGGUAGCAUAAUCAUUAGUCUUUUAAUUGGAGGCUGGAAUGAAUGGUUUGAUGAAAUAAUAACUGUCUCUUUAUUAUUGAUUUGAAUUUUACUUUUGAGUUAAAAGGCUCAAAUGUUAUUAAGGGACGAGAAGACCCUAUAGAUCUUGAUAAUAAAUUUAUUUGAUUAUAUUUGGUUGUAUGAUUGUUUUAUAAGUGUAAUUAUUUUAUUGGGGUGAUAUGAGAAUAGUAUAACUUCUUAUAAGUUAACUUUGAUUAAUGGGUAAAUGAUCCUUUAAUAUGGAAUUAAGAUUAAGAUACCUUAGGGAUAACAGCGUAAUUUUAUUGAAGAGUUCUUAUCGAUAAUGAAGAUUGCGACCUCGAUGUUGGAUUAAGAAUAUAUUUUGGUGUAGUUGCUAAUAAUAUUGGUCUGUUC
rnacentral:rRNA from 1 species